UACGUAGGAGGCGAGCGUUGUCCGGAAUUACUGGGUGUAAAGCGCGUGUAGGCGGUGAGUUAAGUCUGUUGUGAAAGCGCCCGGCUCAACCGGGCAGAGUCAAUGGAAACUAGCGCACUGGAGGUCGGUAGAGGCGAGUGGAAUUCCCGGUGUAGUGGUGAAAUGCGUAGAGAUCGGGAGGAACACCAGUGGCGAAGGCGGCUCACUGGCUCGGUACUGACGCUGAGGUGCGAAAGCGUGGGGAGCAAACAGGG
rnacentral:rRNA from 1 species